UCCCAAUCCAAAUAUAACAAACCAUCCAAUAGUUAAUUGCUCUUGAGACUUUGAAUGUUACAUCAUCCAAUCUACCAAAAGACUUCUCGGUAAUCUUAGUUCUUAGACCCUAAAAAACGACCAAAACACAAUUGAAAUUUGAAAACCAUUCUCACAACCAUGUCCACUACUUUCCUCCAAUCUCCACCAUUUCUCACCACCAAAAUCACCACCACUAAACCCACCAAUUCCCAACAUCUCCGCCGCAACUUCCGCCCUAUAAACUCCGUCAACCGCCCCACGACACCACCAACUUCAACCACCCCAAACAAUGUCCAAACUCUCCUCACCAACCUCACUAAACUCCUAUGGUCCAAAACCCUUCCACCCCAACUCCUCAUCUCCACCGUCCGAUCAAUCUGGACCACCACGUGGCUUCUAAUGAUGUCCCAACUCGCCCCUUCUGACCCCACUGGUAGUUACUCAAGACCCACCUCUCAAUUUCGCGCCAAAAUCAACAACCUUUCCCGCCAUAACCUAACUAUCCUCCAUCUCUAUGUGGGUCUUCCUUGUCCUUGGGCUCAUAGGACCCUCAUUGUUAGGGCUCUAAAGGGUCUUGAGGAGGUGGUUCCGGUGUCGGUAGCAUCGCCGGGUGUUGAUGGGUUGUGGGUUUUUGAUGGGGUGAUGGGUACUGAUGAUAAUGCAAAUGGGUGUAAGACUUUGAAGGAGGUUUAUAAGCUUAGGAAAGAUGGGUAUGAUGGGAGGUCUACUGUGCCUAUGUUGUGGGAUGUGGAAAAGAAGGAGGUUGUGUGUAAUGAGAGUUAUGAUAUUGUUCAAUUGCUUAAUUCUGGGUUUAAUGAAUUGGCCACGAAUGCGGGGUUGGACCUCGAACCUCCCUCGUUGAAGGGGAGGAUUGAGGAGUGGAAUCGCGUUAUUUAUCCUUAUGUGAACAAUGGGGUCUAUAGGUGUGGGUUUGCUCAAACUCAAGAGGCUUAUGAUGCAGCUGUGAGUGACUUGUUUGGCACACUAGACACGUUAGAGGAUCAUUUGGAGCAUUCCCGAUACCUUUGUGGAGAGUCAUUGACAAUUGCUGAUGUCUGCUUGUUCACUACCUUAAUCAGAUUUGAUCUUGUUUAUAAUGUUAUGUUCAAGUGCACAAAGAAAAAGAUAGUGGAGUAUACCAAUCUUCAUGCAUAUAUGCGAGACAUUUAUCAGAUUCCAAAGGUCGCAGAAACUUGCAAUUUAAAUGCUAUGAUGGAUGGCUACUACAAUUUCCUGUUUCCACUGAAUCCAGGAAAUAUUCGGCCUAUCAUGCCAUCUGGUUGUGAGCAUGAAGCUCUCUCAAGACCACACAAUAGGGAAUUACUAUCAUCGGCUGAUGAAAGCUUGCAGACUAUUAUUUCUUGAUUAAUCAGAGUGUAAAAUUUUUUGAAUUUCAGGUUGGAAAUUUCUUAUUCAUCUGGAGACAUUUUGGCAAAUUUGAAGUCUUGAACUACUCCUUAGUACCAAGGCUUUUUUUAAUUGUAUGCUUAUUGGAGAUAAAGCUGCUGCAAACACCUAGCCGUAUAUUCAGGUUAAGAAUCCUGCUGCACCUAUCGAUCUGAGCAUGAAGCUAGCACAUUAAAAACCGGAGAAAAACUUUUCUACUUCCAGCAAAGAGGGGUCAAGUAAAAAAAAAAAGGGGAAAUGGCUGCCAUGAUACCUGAAUUUUGCAAGGAUGUCUUCAACGAGCUUCCAGACUAGUUUGGUACUGUACAGAAUCGACUUAUGAGCAUCAAACUUGAUGGAUCAGUUUGAUAGAUAUUGUUUUUACAAGCAUGUGGUGGCGACUCUCUCUUCACGAGAGAGUGAAUGAUUUUACGUUAACAAAGAGGGGCUUGAAGGACAUAUAAAAAAAGUGGUGUCCUCUGUACUUACACUGGAAUAUAUAUACUGGGUAUUAGAUUAUGAGUAACUCAAAUGAUUGAAGUGUUUGCCAUCAAUUAAUAUGAGAAGCUGCCUUAAUCAGCCUGAUAUACAAUUUAAGGGGGGCAAAAAUUGGCAUAAUUUGGGAUAAUAAGGGUAAAUAAACAAGGAUGUUUGCAUAUUAUGCCAAUUUUUGCGCCCUUAAAAAGUUACUGUUCAACCCCUCACGUAAUUGGCAUAAUUUGCAACAUUGCUUUAUUAGCAGAUUUGUUAACAUAGGUCCCUCUUUUUAUCUCUCUCUAUCCCUGGAAUCUCCCUCCUCUCCUUAAAUACCUGUUCAUCCCCUUACGUU